rnacentral:lncRNA from 1 species
UUUGACAACAUGUUCGUCAUUGGAUUAGUUAUUUCAGACAAUUUUAUUCCGUUUGGCUAUUUAACAGGCAGUUCAAAAGCUCGAUGAUCUAUUAUGUCUAAAAUUUGGUUUUCAUGUGUUUAGGUAAUAUGGAAAGAGAGGAAUACUAGAAUAUUCAGUAAAAAUGAAGAUUAUAUUCUCUUGGGUUUCAAGUGUAAGUAAUUACG